CACGUAGGCGGCGUAUCAAGUCAGGGGUGAAAUCCCGGGGCUCAACCCCGGAACUGCCCUUGAAACUAGUAUGCUAGAAUCCUGGAGAGGCGAGUGGAAUUCCGAGUGUAGAGGUGAAAUUCGUAGAUAUUCGGAAGAACACCAGUGGCGAAGGCGACUCGCUGGACAGGUAUUGACGCUGAGGUGCGAAAGCGUGGGGAGCAAACA
rnacentral:rRNA from 1 species